GGGCGCUUGGCACAGGGGUAGCGCGCACGCUUCGCACGUAACGACUGCGUGAGGUCGUGGGUUCAAAUCCCACAGUGUCCA
rfam:Schizophyllum commune H4-8 unplaced genomic scaffold SCHCOscaffold_5, whole genome shotgun sequence.